UACAGAGGUCUCAAGCGUUGUUCGGAUUCAUUGGGCGUAAAGGGUGUGUAGGUGGCGCCGUAAGUCGGGUGUGAAAUUUCGGAGCUUAACUCCGAAACUGCAUUCGAUACUGCCGUGCUUGAGGACUGGAGAGGAGACUGGAAUUUACGGUGUAGCGGUGAAAUGCGUAGAUAUCGUAAGGAAGACCAGUGGCAAAGGCGGGUCUCUGGACAGUUCCUGGACGCUGAGGCACGGAAGGUCAGGGGGAGCAAACGGGG
rnacentral:rRNA from 1 species